GCUGAAUCACUUUCAGGAGUCACUCUCUUCUCUUACUCAUUUUCUUUUUGUGCGGUGCAAAAACCGGUGGAUAUGGGUAUUACAGUUCCUCAAUCUGAUGACGUUGUGCAGAUGGAAGUGAUGUGUCACUCUCUCCUCUCACUUUAUAAUUAUAUGACUCUCUUCUCUCAUUUCCAUUCUCAAGAGUCACUCUCUUCACUUACUCUUCAUUCAUUUCCAGUAAAUCGGUGGACAUGAACUUUACCGUUCUUCGCUGGUGACCUUCUUUAAAAGGGUUUUUCUUUUUGGUGACGUUGUGCAGAUGGAAGGUAGAAAGUAAAGUGAUGUUAUCAUUUCCAUUCUCAAGAGUCACUCUCUUCUCUUACUCUUCAUUCGUUUCCCGUAAACCGGUGGACAUGAAUCGUUCCUCGCUGGUGACCUUCUUUAAAAGGGUUAAGAUAAAAAAUAUUGGAAUUUAUUGAAAAUAAUAAAUCUUAGUGAGUUAUAGGAGUCACUGAAAUUUGUAAUUUUCAAUAAAUUUCAACUAUUAAUAGUCUUAGACAAAAAAUAUGGGAGAUUGCUUGAA